rnacentral:misc_RNA from 1 species
GCCAAAUGGAGGGUCCUUAGUUUUUUUUUCCUCUCUCUCUCUUUCUGCUACCAAAAAAAUAGCCUCACUACUCCACCAUCAUCUUCUUCUUCCUUCUUCCUUCUUCUCUUACUGCUGCUAAUAAGCUUUUUCUUACUUGGGUUUUCUCUUACAACAUCAAAUUUACAACUUCGGUUCCCACAGGAUUAUUAGAGUGAUCUGUAAUUGUGAUGUCUCCGCCGCUCCUUGGUGUUGGGGAGGAGGAGGGCCAGAGUAAUGUAACUCUACUGGCUUCUUCAACUUCCUUAGGAAGCAUAUGCAUAAAAGGAUCAGCUCUUAAAGAGCGAAACUAUAUGGGUCUAUCUGAUUGUUCGUCGGUGGACAGCUGUAAUAUUUCCACCUCAUCAGAGGACAAUAAUGGGUGUGGAUUAAAUCUCAAGGCAACGGAGCUCAGGCUCGGUCUACCUGGAUCUCAGUCUCCCGAAAGAGGUGAGGAGACUUGCCCUGUGAGCUCGACAAAGGUUGAUGAGAAGCUGCUCUUCCCCUUGCACCCUUCCAAAGAUACUGCUUUCUCGGUAUCGCAGAAAACAGUAGUUAGUGGCAACAAACGAGGAUUUUCAGACGCUAUGGAUGGAUUCUCAGAGGGGAAGUUUCUGUCGAAUUCCGGUGUGAAAGCAGGUGAUACAAAGGAGACCUCACGUGUGCAACCACCUAAAAUGAAAGAUGCUAAUACUCAGAGUACAGUUCCAGAGAGGCCUUCUGCUGUGAAUGAUGCCUCAAACCGUGCGGGCAGUGGUGCCCCUGCUACAAAGGCACAGGUUGUUGGUUGGCCACCCAUUCGAUCUUUUAGAAAGAACACUCUAGCCUCUGCCUCGAAGAAUAACGAAGAGGUUGACGGAAAAGCUGGCUCACCAGCUCUUUUUAUUAAGGUCAGCAUGGAUGGUGCUCCCUAUUUGAGGAAAGUGGACCUCAGAACCUGUUCUGCAUACCAGGAGCUAUCUUCUGCUCUUGAAAAAAUGUUCAGCUGUUUUACAAUAGGUCAAUAUGGAUCUCAUGGA